rnacentral:lncRNA from 1 species
GGACAGACAACAUUAUAUGUGUGCUAAUCGAUCAAUAACUAUUGAUCGGAUUAUGGUAAAUUUACCUUAAAGAACCUCGUGGACACGAGGAAGAAAUAAUAGGAAGUGAUUUUUUUUGUAAUUAUAAUGUGUGAUAAAUUGACCACAUUAAUUUGAUUUAAUGUUAAUGUUGUAUAUGGAACGUGCGGAAAUACUAAAUUAAAAUGAUGUUUUAAAAUUAUGUAAGAAAGAUAUCACAGGUGAAGACAAUUUCAAAUAACUUACUAAAUAAACAAGUAAAUUUUGAGUAUAUAUCACCAUAGAUAAAACUGAUAGCAUGGAUUGUGAUAUAUUUUUUAAUUAUAAUAUAGCCAAUGUAACACCAGAAACUUAAUGACAACACCGCUGCGCAAAAUAGGUGUGACUUUAACCCCUUAGUUGCUAGAUGGGAUAUUUCAUAGUUGGUGGUAUCAGGGGCGGAUGCAGGAAUUUUCGAAAAGGGGGGGGGGGCUAACCCAGGGCAAAGGGGCAGGGUGUGCAAACAAUGUCCCGAUACAAAUCAUUGAUCGGCAAAAUAAAGGGGGGUGCGCACCCGGACCCCCCCCCCCUGGAUCCGCCACUGGGUAUAUAGUUUUUUGACACUUUAUAAGAUACAAUAGUUAAGGGAUCUUUUGUUAUUUUCAUACUUACGGUGAACAAUAGGUAAAUGUGUCUGUAUUCGAUAACUAAGAUACAUCAGUUUAUUGCAACUUUAGCAUAGAUCUAUUUUAAAGAACAUUGUCAAGUGAGAGCAAUAUCACAUGGGAUUUCAAAUAAGAGAAUUAAAACACACCGUGUAGAACGCCACAUGCGGGGUGUCGGCUAUGUUUGACACGGGGUGGCAAUUUCGAAGCGGAGAAAAACUAACAGAGUAAGUUCAAGUGUCAAAAUUUCUUUUUUUAGAAUUCUUAGUACCAUGUAAUGAAUUGCACGGAAUGACCUGAAACAUAAUUAUUCUGCAAGCAUUAGCAGUCGUUUCGGCUCUCUGUUUCCUCAUAAACCUCUCCUAGUUUUCCGUGUUGCAGAUUUGAGGCUCAUAUGCAAAUUUCUGGAUAAACAACUACUUUAGACGACUCCUUCCCGUAUCAUUGUUUAAGAAUUGAAUGCUUCUUUUCAUGCCAAGAAAUUGCCUCCGUUGAAAUUCUGCAAACACCCCAUAGAGCAAAUUACAUGGAUGAUAAUAUUACAUUUGGUAUAUGUGCGUGUUCUAAGCGACACGUACAUGAAGUCAUAAAUUAAUUUUGAAUGAAAUCAAAUCUUUAGCUACUAAUACUGCCGUAGGAGGCGACCGGAAUUUUAGCGAGGAUUUCUUGGCAUGUUUCAGAAGAGAUGUAAGAACAAUAAUAUAAGUCAAUUGCUUUUAAAAAUCAAUUGUAAACGGUCUUUCUCCCUUUAAAACAUGAUUGAUUGAUAGAUACGUGUGUUUGUUUGUUUGUUUGUUUGUUUGUUUCUGUAAGGGGUCUAUAGUAUUGUUUUAUGAACUUUAAGUACAUGUAUGCCCUGAUGACUGCAAAUUUUGAGGUCAAUUGGACUUGUAGUUUCAGAGUAUAGAUGAUAACAAAGAUGUGGAUUUUUUUUCGGAGUAACAGAUAGAAAACUCAGGGUUAGAAUUCAUAUAACAGAAAAGGGGCAUUGGCAAAUAUUUCAUGUAUAUUUUGAACAGAGAGAAUUUACCGGCACCCUUUGCCAAAAAAAAAACCCUUUCUUUUUCUUAUUUGUGCCUUUGGACUUUAUGUUUUGAAUUUUAGUUUCACUUUCCAUAUUCGGUAUUUAUUCAAAUGUAAGUUCCAAGUGAUAAAAAUCACGUGAUGCAGGAAUAUAGUAUCUUGGAGUUUGGGCUAUUUCUUUCUUUUCGGACGGGGACUGCAAGCAAACAACAUGUAUGUCAUGAAGUUGUGUAUAACGGCACUGUAGAUUUUCGUAUUAAAUAAAUAAAGUUGCCGGUCUGGUUCGGUCCGGUACAUGAAUAGAUUGGUUAGAAAGCAAGGUUUUAAUUUUAAUUAGAUUCGAAAGCUUAAUUCGAGGAAAUAGAGGGGGGGGGGUGUCCACAGGGAAUAUUUGUGUCUUAUGAACUCUAUAUUUCACAAGGUUUAUUUUUUUAAAUUUAAUUAAAAAGAGAAAAAACAAAUGUAAGACAAAUUGUGAACGGUCUUUCUUCCUUUCUCACGGUAACUUCAUUGGGGUGUAAAAGCGUUGACCGAAGUACAUUUUGGAAGCGCUUCAUACUAAAAAUGUGCACACUGUCAACUUUUUUACACCCCUAUGAAGUUACAAAAAGAAGCAUUCAAUACUUAUAAUUACAUUUUUUUAGCAAUGAUCAUGAAAACACGAAUUUUAUUAUUGUUUUAUUUAAUUCACCUGUGCACUUUAUUGUGGGACAACGUGUUACCAUGAAUGAAAAGUUUUAUUGAGCAAUGCAAUUGCUUACGGAAUAACACGCGAUGAGCAGUUAGCCAAUCAGAACAAAGUAUCAUAAUGAAACAUACAUUAAUUGAACUGAAUUUUAAUGUACGUAUUGUUAUGCGUUUACUUUUCUACAUUGGUUAGAGGUAUAGGGGGAGGGUUGAGAUCUCACAAACAUGUUUAACCCCGCCGCAUUUUUUUGCGCCUGUCCCAAGUCAGGAGCCUCUGCCUUUGUUAGUCUUGUAUUAUUUAAUUUUAGUUUCUUGUGUACAAUUUGGAAAUUAGUAUGGCGUUCAUUAUCACUGAACUAGUAUAUAUUUGUUUAGGGGCCAGCUGAAGGACGCCUCCGGGUGCGGGAAUUUCUCGCUACAUUGAAGACCUGUUGGUGACCUUCUGCUGUUGUUUUUUAUUUGGUCGGGUUGUUGUCUCUUUGACACAUUCCCCAUUUCCAUUCUCAAUUUUAUUUAAUGUAAUUAUAUAGAAUUGAAUUCCUAUCAUGGAAUUUAACCAAAUGCCAGCUUCUUACUUAAAAUUAAUUGGUUUUAAAACUAGUUUUUCAUCAAAAUAUGAAGUGUCGCUAGGGGUGUCAGAUUUUGUAGUUUUUAUCCAGAAAUUUGCAUAUGAAGCCUCAAAAUCUGCAACACGGAAAACUAGGGAGAGGUGUUUGAGGAAACAGAGCACGGAAAACGACUGCUUAUAAUCGCAGGAAAUAGAUUAUGUUUCAGGUCAUUCCGUGCAAUUUAUUAUAUAUGGUACUAAGAAUUUAAAAAAAAAAAUAUUUUUAUACUUGAACUUACUUUGUUAGUUUUUCUUCGCUUCGAAAUUGCCACCCCGUGUCAAGCAAGCAUAGCCGACACCCCGCAUGUGGCGUUCUACACGGUGAUUAACAUUUGGUCACAUGAAAAUAGACAAUAUGACUGUUUAUAGAUUAUCUUCUAAGUUGUCAACUUUCUCUUUUCACGCAAAAAAAGAAAAGAGAACCAAAAUCACAAACAUUGUUUUACAGAGUACAACGCCUACUAUCCUACCUUUGUAGUUUUAUUUAACGGCUAUUCUCCAUAUUUAUAUUUAAUACAUCAAAUAUUAAAAAAGACAACAUAUUUCUAUAUAUAUCUUUCUUCCUCGAAUUAUAUUCUGUUUUAUUAUUUAAAUAAGUUUGUUUGAAACUCUCUACAGAUGCAAGCCGCAACUCUGGUGGUAGAAUUUAUAUUAGAAGCGUUGGAUUACAAUGCCAAAAUGAUUUUUUUCUUGAUCCUGUCACAUAUGGGUGUGGUAUUGAUAUUAAUGAUGGGAAAGUUUGUAUUGUACUUUAUGCUGAUGCCUUUGUUAUUCUGGUAAAUUUAUGAUGAAAAAGAAUUAAAAUACGCAUUAGAUUCAUAGCCUGUAGAUAUUAGUAUGAAAAAUAAUAAUACCGACAAAAGUAAUAUUGGUAAAUGUGGAAAUAAUUAUAUAAUAUCAUUAAAUAAUCUACUACUUAUACCAAGGAUUUACUAUACAAUUGUGUUAUAGCUAAUUGCAGACUGUAAGGUGGUUAUUCAUAUGUUCGUUGUGUUUUUUCAAAUUGUAUGAAAGUUUGGUGCUGCCAAUUGCUAAAUAUAAUGCAGGUAUUUGGGGUUGCAUACAUUGUUCUCUAAUCAAUGCUAUGCAUUAUAGAGCUUGCAGAACAUUUCUUGGAGUUGAUAAAAACACUCCAAAUGCCGCAGUUGCACAUGUGUAUAAAAAAUUGAAGUUUUUAUAGAAGAAAAAACGUUUUCUGCGUACACUGUAGAACAUUUGUGUAAAGAAAACAUUGACAGUACCUCAAUUGUUAAUGAUUUUAUGUCUUAAUUACUAAAAAUGUAGAUCAGUGAUAAAAAAGGAGAUUUUUAACCGCUGUCAAUCACCCAAAGACCACUUCUUGAUAACCUCUCAUCAGAUAAAAUUUACUUAAAAGAUAAUCGUCAACACUAAGCUUAUUUUAUCUUUCCGAGUUAUAAUUUUAACCCUGUAUUUUCAAAACUUUUGUUUCCUAGUAACAUUCAUAGGUAUAUGUCAAAGAUCGCCAACAGGAUUAUUUAUGGAUUCUUUUAAAAUAAGUUUAAAAAAAUUAUUAAGUACCGAAUUCAUUUCCUUGGCGUGAUGAAAACCUGUUACUGUGCACGAGUAGUUAAAACAGAAGGCCAGCUUUUCUAAUAAUGCAUAUUCGGUUCUGGUGAGAUAUAAGUGGAUUUUAAAACACAUCAGGACAUGCGUCUUAUCAUACUAUUCUGUUGGUAAAAAUAAACCGUUAUUAAACUCCAAGGUACACAUAAAAUAUAUUUACUGUUAAAUAUGUGUUGUCAUGGUACCAACCAUACUGUAUUAUUUGCCAUCUUUUACGGAAACUAAAACUUGCAACUAUUCUUGUUUAUUCAAAUUCUCCCCAUCUUGUAUAGUAUAGUGUCUUUCUUUGUUUUGAUGUUAGACUAUUGUUUCGGGUAAAGGUGAAGGUUGGUACCUAUUAAAAUGUUUGAACCCGCUGCAUUCGUUUGUACCUGUCCUUAGUUAGGAUACUGAUGUUCAGUAGUUGUCGAUUGUUGAUGUUUAUAAAUGUUUCUCGUUUCUCGUUUUCUAUAUAGAUUAGACCGUUGUUUUUUCCGUUUGAAUGGUUAAACACUAGUCAUUUUUGGGGCCUUUUAUGGCUUGCUGUACGGUGUGAGCCAAGGCUCUUUGUUGAAGACCGUACUUUGACCUAUAAUGAUUUUUCUUUUACAAAUUGUGAAUGAUGGAGAGUUGUCUCAUUGACACUCAUAUAUCGUAUCUUCUUAUAUUUACAAGCAAGAAGUUUAUCUAAUAUAUUCUGAAGAGCAUCGGGCAUCUUACAAUCAUCACUGAAUUACCUGCGAAUAGCAUGAAGCAUAUAUAAAAUAGAUUUAUUAUUCAUUUCAAUUUAUUGACUGACUAUAUAAUCAUGCACACAUAGGUUUUCAGCAACGGUUAUGAAAAUAUGUGAAAAGCAGAGUAGAUAUUCGCCUGGUUAAACACCAAACAAAUAUAAACUGUUGCAUAUUAUGAUUGCACCAAGGAAACAACUUGCUACUAUUUCCUCUAAUUUUAAACUUCAACCUGAGAAUACUCCGAUCAGUACUGUUACAUGCCUUACCACGAAAGUCCCCCAAUGUUGAAUGUAGUUUUUGAGUAAAGAUAGCAUGACAUGCAACUAAAACCCUAUGGUGCUGACUUCUUGAUAUCUAAAUCUUCCGAGGUUUAUCACCGUUUUUGAGAUACAGAAAACAUAAUGCAAUUAUCAUAACAAUCUAAAAUCCUAUCCAUGAAACGGAAAUUUAUCAAUGAAUUAUAUACUCAGAUAUUCAAGUUACAAAAUUAUGUUGUACUUGUCAAAAAAUUACAUAACUUGUGCAAAGUGCAGGAAUCCAAGAAUUGUUCUAAAAUCUCAAUGAAUUCACUACUUUAAAACUGUAGUUAUCUUCCUUUGUCCAUAAUUGUAUUUUAAUUAACUACCACCAAUGCUGUACGAUGUAAUGUCGGUGUUGACAUGCAUAUCAAUGAUGUGGUCAUUUUUUUAUAAAUUUCCUGUUUAUAAAACUUUGAAUUUUUCGAAAAACUAAGGAUUUUCUUAUCCCAGGCAUAGAUUACCUUAGCCGUAUUUUGGAAUUUUGGAUCCUCAAUGCUCUUCAACUUUGUACUUGUUUGGCUUUAUAGAUAUUUUGAUAUGAGCGUCACGGAUGAGUCUUAUGAAGACGAAACGCGCGUCUGACGUACUAAAUUAUAAUCCUGGUACCUUUGAUAACUACUAUGAUGAAUGGUGACAGAAUUCAAACUAGUCAGCUAACCUAACCUUAUUAUCUUCCGACUAAUUUAAUAACUUAUAAUUUAGAUCUACAGUUAUUAGUGGUUCAUUGGUACAGGUAUAACAAUUAUAUUUUUCCAGUUCCCGUAAUAUAUUUUAUAUUCAAAAAGUUAAUAAGUAUUAUACAAAUUUAAAAACAUGUCGUAAUAUCACUCUAUUCCUUUCUUUCCCACACACUUCAGGUUUUGAAUUGCAGAUUCAAUUUUUCAUUCAGUAGAAUCGAUGUCCAAUUCGUCUUUGUGAACAUUUUCAAUUUAAAUUGUUAAAUAUACUUUACUGAAGUUUAAAUGAAGAGUGAAAAACACUGGCAACUCUGAGUUCAUGCGAAUAUAGUGCGACCCAUAUGUCAAAACUGGAAUUCAGAAUGUUAAAUAUCUGUCAACCUUGGCGACAAAGUUGCUCACCAGAUAAUCUUAAACUUCAAUUCUAUAGAAAUGUUGACUAUCCAGAAGGCAACACGAACUUGAUAUGUACGCAUAUGUUAUCUUUAUAGAUACACAUAUCAAAAAUAUCUCCAGAUAUUCCAAAAAUGUCUUGGCAAGUGCAAUUUCAAGUAAUGAUUUUUUUUUCAAUUGCAAGAGAUGUAAAUUUCACAACAGUCGUUGUUAUACGUUCUUCACGGGGACGGUUCAUUUUACUUGAGAAUUGCUGGUAACGCUGAUUACUUGUAUUUGUCCAUGCUGCAUUUGUUUAAACUAUCAAAAAGUUGUAAGACCGAGGACAUUUAAAAUUGGUGUUGCGUUGUUAAAUUAAUUUCACUUGCUGAAGAUUAAUUAAUGGCCUGGACGAUCAGAUGGGAAGGACCAUCACCCCGCUCAACGUGUCGAUCAAACAGGUAGAAUGAGUCGACGACUACAAGAAACUUGAAAAAAAUUGUACAAAAUUUCGGAUAUGGGCACGCACAUAUCUACUUAAUUUGGUUGUUUUUACUUUUAAUUCGAGCGUCACGGAUGUGUCUUUUGUGAACGUAACGCGCACCUUGCGUUCAGAAGUUUAAAUCCUGGUUUUUAUUAUGAUUUACUUAAACCAAAAUAGCUACAAAGGGUUACAUGUGCAUGCUGAGGCGGAUAAACAAAUUUGGCAAUAGAGAUUUAGAAACAAAUUCGGAGCGACUGUUGAGCGUUGAAUUCUAGCCGUAGUAAUGCUUACCACAAGUACGUCAAACACUACUAGCGAACCAACUAAUCAAGUUUUAUCUUAUGACCUUCAGAUAAACAUGAACGGAAAUUGCACAAACGUUCAUUUUAUAAUGAUUAAAUAGUGGAGUAGUGACUAUAUAAAUAAUGGUCUUAACGAAAAAGAAAUUGCAUCUGACGACCAGGUCACACCAUUCUCGAAGAAGAUGUAAUAUUUCCAUAUCUAUUGUGCAACGUUAUAAAUAUUUUUUUUUGUCAUUUUGAAUUGGUUUUAUAUUCAUACAUAUUUUAUUUCUACUACUAGUUAAUACUGAAGUUACCUGUACUAUGUUCUUCUAAGUCUUUAAAAGAAAUGUAUUAAUAUGACCAUCCUCAAAUGAUAUGAUAAAUGUUAACUAAUUUAUAUUUACUAAAAUAUAUAUAAUCGACAACAUGAUACACGUUACACGGAUGUGUGCAAGAUAAUCUGCAUACUGGGAUCGUCAACAAUAUAUCUUUACCAUCAUGAUAAUUAGUAUUAUUAUUCAAUGUUAAUAAUAACAAUAAUACUGAUAAUUAUAAAACCUACACACGUAGACCCCAUCUGUCGUUAGCUAGCAGAAAGAGUUAUUCUUCAGACUCAAGUCACAAUUUUUGAAAAAGGUCGGGAUUUGGAGAGUUUUGAAUAAAGGCAACAGUAGUAUACCGCUGUUCAAAGGUCAUAAAUCAAUCGAGAGAAAACUAUGUCCGUUAUGUUCGCGGAAAUUAAAGAAACGUGAAAAUUCGACAACGCGUUUGUAGUACUCGUAUUUAUCUGUAAUCUGUCAGCAAAAAAGUGAAUGUUGUUUACAUCUUCAACAUUACAUUACAGUAUUUUUUUCCAUGUAUUUUUCCAUCCAACGAAAAUAUUAAACAGUAAAAAUUUGACUUGCACAUUAUGUAAAAUAAAUCGCAAAAAAAGGCGAAGCGUAAACACCAGAUGUACGGUUUCACGAACAAUAGACCAAACAGCCCAUAUUUUUGCAACCAGCCAUGUUGCUACAGAACUUAUAUGAAGAUAAUCUCACCUUGGCAUUUAGAUGAAAAUCACGUAUACAUAAGAUUCAGCCUUAUUGAACUACAAGUUGUUCAUCAAAACCCUGCCCCUAGAACCCAAAAGUAUCCAUACUCAUUGUGGGCUAUAUAAUUAAUCUGUAAGAUGAAAUAAACGGGCUGAUGCAUUGUAAAUGAUAAAGCAUGGUAUCAUGCAAGUUUAUGAAGAAGAACACGCGGAUAAACCCUGCACUAACAAAAACAGAAGCAUCAUGCAUAUGUUAUUCAUGCGAUUUACCCAAUUUUAUUUUUAAUUUUAAUCUAAGCUCAACGAAUCUCCAAAGAAACGGUUUGACUCGCUAUCAGACAAUUUUUCAUCAAAGAGCAAAACACCACCACAGCCAGUGAACAACUCUUAUAGCAGUAUUUUAAAA